UGGGGAAUAUUGGACAAUGGGCGAAAGCCUGAUCCAGCCAUGCCGCGUGUGUGAAGAAGGUCUUCGGAUUGUAAAGCACUUUAAGUUGGGAGGAAGGGCAGUAAGCGAAUACCUUGCUGUUUUGACGUUACCGACAGAAUAAGCACCGGCUAACUCUGUGCCAGCAGCCGCGGUAAUACAGAGGGUGCGAGCGUUAAUCGGAUUUACUGGGCGUAAAGCGUGCGUAGGCGGCUAAUUGAGUCGGAUGUGAAAUCCCCGAGCUUAACUUGGGAAUUGCAUUCGAUACUGGUUAGCUAGAGUGUGGGAGAGGAUGGUAGAAUUCCGGGUGUAGCGGUGAAAUGCGUAGAGAUCUGGAGGAAUACCGAUGGCGAAGGCAGCCAUCUGGCCUAACACUGACGCUGAGGUACGAAAGCAUGGGGAGCAAACAGG
rnacentral:rRNA from 1 species